rnacentral:tRNA from 1 species
CAUUAGAUGACUGAAAGAAAGUAAUGGUCUCUUAAACCAAUUGAUAGUAACCCCGCCUACUUCUAAUGA